CAAUAGCGUAUAUUAAAGUUGUUGCAGUUAAAAAGCUCGUAGUUGGAUUUCUGGUUGAAGCGACCGGUCGGGCGUUGAUUCGUCUGCACUGGAGUCGGUUUUGGCCAUCCUCUAGGAAAGUGCGUCUGGUAUUAAGUUAUCGGGCGUAUGAUCCUGGUCUUUUACUGUGAAAAAAUUAGAGUGUUUAAAGCAGGCCUUCGCCUUGAAUACAAUAGCAUGGAAUAAUAAGAUAGGACUUUGGUCUAUUUUGUUGGUUUGCAGACCGAAGUAAUGAUUAAUGGGGAUAGUUGGGGGUAUUUAUAUUCCGAUGUCAGAGGUGAAAUUCUUAGAUUUUCGGAAGAUAAACUUAUGCGAAAGCAUUUACCAAGGAUGUUUUCAUUA
rnacentral:rRNA from 1 species